UAAUAGCGUAUAUUUAAGUUGUUGCAGUUAAAAGCUCGUAGUUGGAUUUCGGGCAAGGAGGAGCGGUCCGUCGAUUUGAUGUGUACUGCUUUACCUUGUCUUCCUGUCGGGGAUGCGUUACUGUUCUUUAUUGGACGGUUCGUGGAAUCGGCACUGUUACUUUGAAUAAAUUCGAGUGUUCUAAGCAAGCAUUUGCUUUGAAGACAUUAGCAUGGAAUAACGCGAUAGGACCUUAGGCUAUCUGUUGGUCUGUAGUACUGAGGUAAUGAUUAAGAGGGACAGUUGGGGGCAUUCGUAUUUCAUUGUCAGAGGUGAAAUUCUUGGAUUUAUGAAAGACGAACUUCUGCGAAAGCAUUUGCCAAGGAUGUUUUCAUUAAUCAAGAACGAAAGUUGGGGGCUCGAAGAUGAUUAGAUACCGU
rnacentral:rRNA from 1 species